ACGGUCCGCACGGCCCUCAAAAGCACACACCUCUUAAAGACACGGGUAGUUCCGCUUCCGGCAGCACCAGAUAAGUCGCGAGAGGAAGCUUAAAUCCUGUCGUUUGCUUUUAGGACCACUUUCGGUUCAUGAUGGUCCGUAGUGGAAAAAAUGGUGACCUUCAUCUUAAGCAGAUUGCGUAUUAUAAACGAACUGGUGAAUAUCAUCCAACUACGCUACCAAGUGAGAGGAGUGGCAUAAGAAGAGCAGCAAAAAAAUUUAUCUUCAGAGAAAAAAAGCUGUUUUAUGUUGGAAAAGACAGAAAACAAAAUCGUUUGGUGAUUGUUUCAGAAGAAGAAAAAAAGAAAGUCCUAAGAGAAUGCCAUGAAAAUGACACUGGAGCUCAUCAUGGCAUAUCCAGGACCCUUACUCUAGUGGAAUCCAGUUAUUAUUGGACUUCUGUGACCAAUGAUGUCAAACAGUGGGAAAUUCAUCUAGGAAUUGUGGUAUUCUUACUGGUAUAUGCUUGUCAGCAUUGCCAAGUGGCAAAAAAUACAGUUAUUCUAGCACCUAAACAGCACUUUCUCAAGGUGGAGAAUCCAUGGAGUAUAGUUACUGUUGAUCUGAUGGGCCCAUUUCAUACAAGCAUCAGAAGUCACGUGUAUGCUAUAAUCAUGGCAGAUUUGUUCACAAAAUGGGUUGUGAUUUUGCCUCUCUGUGAUGUUUCACCAUCAGAAGUUUCUAAAGCUAUUAUCAAUAUAUUUUUCUUAUAUGGACCACCACAGAAAAUAAUAAUGGACCAAAGAGAGGAGUUCAUUCAUGAGAUCAAUGUUGAACUAUGUGGAUUGUUUGGCACAAAGCAAAUUGUAAUUUCUCACGCCUCCCAAGCUGUUAAUCGAACUGAAAGUACAUCUAGCACAAUCAAAGCAUUUCUUUGUAAACACUGUACUGACCACCCAAACAACUGGGAUGAUCACCUAUCAGCCAUUUCAUUUGCCUUCAAUGUAACUCACUUGGAACCUACUAAAAAUACACCAUAUUUUCAAAUGUUUAAUCGAAAUCCUUAUAUGCCUGAGACUUCAGAUAUUCUUCAUGAAGAGGAUGGUGAUGAUACAAGUAUGUUUGCCAAAAUUCUAGGUGCAGUUAAAGAAGCUGAUAAAUUAUCAAAAAUGGAGAAUAAGACAACAUCAGGACGACAGGUGGAGAACAACAGUUUUGAGGAACUGAAUAAAAGCAAAGUCAUUGUUAAAAAGAAACCAAAGCAGUUAAAUCCAUUUCAUCUAAAAGUAGGUCAUGAAGUUUUACGACAAAGGAAGAACUGGUGGAAGGAUGGUCGUUUCCAGUCUGAAUGGGUUGGUCCUUGUGUCAUAGACUAUAUUACCGAAAGUGGAUGUGCUGUUCUGAGAGACAACACUGGGACUAGACUUAAAAGACCUAUCAAAAUGUCCCACCUUAAGCCCUAUGUAAGAGAGUCCAGUGAACAAGACAGUCUUUAUCUCUUGCAAGGUUCGGUAGUGGCAGAUCAUGACUACAUCGGAUUGCCUGAAAUUCCAGUUGGAGCAUACCAAGCAAAUAUUCUGGUAGAAGAUGCAACUAUUGGUGUAGUCGAUAAUGAAUUACUGACAUCAAGCAAAGAUGGUGAACUAUUAGAAUAUAGAAGUGCCAAAAUCUCUCCAUUGCUGGAAGAUCAUAGUACUCUUGAAAAGCAGACUUUCAGUCUGUUGGACUCUUCAAACCAAGUCCUUGAGUACUUAAAGACAAGCUGGUGUAGCCUCACCUGUGGAAUACCGCCACCACGGCAAGGGGAGAACAUAGCGAACCCAGCACCAUGAAGAGACUUGCUGUCAUGUCAUGCACAACCUUCCAUCUCCAAUUACGGUGGUCAAACCUAGUCAUACACUGCUAACAGGUUCCCAGAAUUCUCAGACUCCUCGAGCCCGGCACUGAUGAGCAGCAAAGCAGGGCGGGCUGGACUCAGCUCUCUUUGUCCCAACGCCAUCCUGUCCCAAGGACAACCCACCCCCAGCUCCUGCAGGUGUGCUGCUUCAGCGGUCCAGACAUUUGGAAUGUGCUUCCCAGCUUCAUCCACUGUCCUGGGAUGGACCAGGAAGGCCUUGGAAGAGGUUCUCCAGGUCCUUGUGAGGAGCACACAGAAGGAAUUCCUUAGUCUGCUGAGUAGCUGGAGGAGACCAGAAAGCCAAUGACAACUUCAUUCCUCUCCCCUACCUCGCAAUGAAGCCUCUGUUAGUUCUGAAAGGUCUCAAGAAUUGGAGAAUGGAGGAGAAUCUAAAGGAAAGAUAAUUACUCUGGAAGCUGGAUUGAGAAUGGACAGAGAAAGGGCAAUGGAAGACUGGUUAUGAGGCUGUUGCAGUAAUUGAGGGCUUUGCCGUGGGCACUGAAUCCCUGCCAUGGUCGCCUUGGCCUGAAAUAGAAUCAGAUGCUACUUCUUGAUCGAAUGCUGCCUCCCACCCUGGCCCACAGAUUCCUUCCCCGACACAGUUGUAGACUCUUGCCUUAUGACCUGGGAAGCCAGCCAAGGGACUGCUCCUGGGAGGUGCUCGGCAGCUACUGAGAGCUGAAGAGCCACAUGGGAAGUGACACCAGGGUGGAAGCCAGUAGCUCCUCUGCUUUGCCAAAGCCAUCAUCUCCCUCUGGAACUAACUUGGAAUUAACAUUGGCUUUCAAUGUAACAGACAUUACUCCAGGCAUCAAGAAUUUCCUGUGGAGUAUCUGUGGAAACAAGGGGAUAACUGCCAGGGGAAAAAAAAAAAAAAUGUUUCUCUCUACUUUUUAAAAAUCAGCUUAAUCCCUGGAAUGAAACCAAACAGGUCGUUUAACAACUGCCAAUUAUGCUUUGAUUUCCUUGUCCUAUCAAUAAAAAGAGAAGGGAAUGCAAAUAUUUUUUUCACAUGCUCUUAAGCGAUGCAACUGAGGGAAAAUGUGGACAAUAAUACUCUAAAAAUCAUACUUUCAGUCAGGGUGAACUUCCACACAGUGUUGGUGUGAGCGUCUCCAACAUACACAGUCCCAUCUUCUGACGCAGCAAUAUCGUGAGGCAUGUCAAAGUGCUGCCAGAAUAAAAAUGAGGGUGGUGAGCCUACACUUGAAUUCUUCAUGAAAAGGCAGAAAAACAAAGCAAAGCACACAACAAAGCAAGAAGCCUAUGAAUCAAACCAAACAACCUAUAAUUCUGUCAAAGCAACUCUAGGCCAAGAAGAAGCAUUCACUCAUUCACCAGGCACCGACUCUGCCCCCUCGGGAAAUGCCAAGGGACCCUCACCACUGACUUUCAAACCUUUUAAAAGUGAGCAUUUAUAGGAAGAUUAAUUUUUUACAGUUUUGUUUACGUGCUGUUACAUUAGCCACCUAUUUAGUUAUAUUUAUUUCUGCCUCCAUGUUUCUUUCUUCUUUUAAUCACUAUCACAUUUGCCUGUUUUAAUUUACACAAGUAAAAAAAGACUGAGUAUUAAUUUUUGUUAUUGCUCCCAUCAGGCUACCUACCAUAUGCUACCUGACAAGCUGUUUAUACGUUACUGAUAAGAGGAGUCAUUUCAAAGUUUCAGGGCAUUCAGUCGGAAUGAAUCCAAGGUGAUACGCAGCAAAUGUGGGGUUUGCUUACUCUGAAGCCCAGUAUUUGUAGUAUUUUCAGUCAGCAAAACGAAACAAAUAGAGUGUUUCCUGCAAGUACUUCCUGUUUUUUUUUUUUUUUUUUUUUUUUUUACCUAUUUCAAUAUUCAGUGGUUUAAUGUUUUUCUUCAUGACAUAGUUCCAUUUCAAAUCAUUGCCAUCUCAGUCAUGAGGACAUGAGACAGGGGAGCACUUUCUGUGACUUUCCUAAGGCCACUAAACUAGUUCCUGGAAAAGCAGCCUUAAAAUGUUGUGCUGCUGCCAUUUCUGUCUGGCUACUGAAGCUUUCGGAGGUGCCACGUGUCCACCAGCUGGUAGGAUAUGGAUGAUUUUUUUCACCUUUGAGGUCAGUAGGCCUGAGUAUACAGUUCUCAGAAAUAUGACCAGUGCGUGUGAACAGGAGCAUUAUCCUGACUGUGGUCUUAUCAGACAGGAUCUGCCCACUUCAGUUUGCUGAGUACAAAGGGCACCAAUGAGGCAAACUAGUGUUCCUAGCUCACUUUAGGCAGGCAGAAUACAUACUGUGGAGAUACUAUUGUACUUUGCGAAUCAUCAACAAUUUGUCACACUGAAAAGAAACAUGAGACAGCCAUGCCAAGGAGGCUCAUUCCUUCAUACUAUCAAAUGAGCUGUGACAAAUGCACAUGAGAAGAACAGAAAGCCAGAAAUCAAAAUGUUGCCUUGUUGAAAUCUCACAAGCCAGUCAUUAAAUGUUCAUCUUUAUUUUGGGUUCAGCUAAUACGUGGCAACAGACUUGUAAAUUCUAGGCAGUUCCUCUUCUGUACCAAAAUAUGUUCUUAGAAACUGCUUUGCAGAGCAUAUGGUUGUAAAGUGCUGCAUAUUUUCUGAUAGGAAAAAUAAUAUAAAUAGGUGAGGGGGAAAUGUGUGAACUCGUCAUUAGCUAAGGACUUUGCUUUAAAUAAAUCACAAUAUGUCAUCAAUUCCAUGCUACAAUAACAACAAACUUCUAUCUCUGGUUCUCAAGCUGAUCCAGGGAGCCAGGGGUUCUGUUGGAGAUACUCUGCGGCCAUUGGAGGGGCUGAGAGGGUAGAAAUAGUGGAUAGGACUUCAGGACCUCUAUUCCUACUGCAGUCAGAAGCACUCAACUGUAAUUUCUUUAAUGAACUAUUCUGUUUUGUGUUAUCUGAAACAGAAAAUCAUGUUGUAAGCUUUAGGAUUUCAGAGUUGAAUGGAUUUAAAGACCUUCCAGUCUAGGCUUUGUAAACUUUUCUGAGGUUUCUCCUCUCUUCUCUUGAGGUACCCCUCCCUAGCAAAGUAACACUGACAAGAAAGAAUGACAGCAUCCUCCUGGGGCAUCUGAUGACAGAGCCCAGGACAAUCAACCUGCUCUCAAAAUCUUAUAUUCUGUCUUAAAACUGCAUAAGGGAUUUGUGUUCUCUGUAUAGUUAUGUUUUCUUUAACAUGAAAUAAUGUUUAAACUUACUUAAUAUGAAGUAAAAUGGCUCUCUAAGAAGUUGCACCGAGUUAUGUUGUAGUUUAAUAUAAUCCAUUGGUAUAUGGAUGUGUACCUCCGGGAAUUAAAAGGUUAAAACACA